AGAGUUUGAUCCUGGCUCAGGAUGAACGCUAGCGGCGUGCCUAAUGCAUGCAAGUCGAACGGGAUCCCAUAGAUUCGUCUAAGGGUGAGAGUGGCGAACGGGUGAUUAACACGUUGGUGACCUGCCCCAGAGAGGGGGACAACCAGUGGAAACGCUGGCUAAUACCCCGGAUGUCAAGGUUUUUAGAAACCCUUGACUGAAGCUCCGGCGCUCUGGGAGGGGCCUGCGGUCCAUCAGCUUGUUGGUAGGGUAACGGCCUACCAAGGCGAAGACGGAUAGGGGGCGUGAGAGCGUGACCUCCCACACUGGUACUGACACACGGACCAGAUACCUGCGGGUAGCAGCAGCAAGGAAUAUUGCCCAAUGGACGAAAGUCUGAGGCAGCAACGCCGCGUGAAGGAAGAAGGCUUUCGGGUUGUAAACUUCUUUUUUGGGGGAAGAGAAAGGACGGUACCCCAAGAAUAAGAUCCGGCUAACUACGUGCCAGCAGCCGCGGUAAAACGUAGGGAUCGAGCGUUAUCCGGAUUUACUGGGCGUAAAGCGCGUGCAGGCGGUUUUCUAAGUCGGACGUGAAAGCUCCUGGCCCAACUGGGAGAGGCCGUUCGAAACUGGAAGACUUGAGGAUGGUAGAGGUAAGUGGAAUUCCCGGUGUAGUGGUGAAAUGCGUAGAUAUCGGGAGGAACACCAGUGGCGAAGGCGGCUUACUGGGCCAUUCCUGACGCUGAGACGCGAAAGCUAGGGGAGAGAACGGGAUUAGAAACCCCGGUAUUCCUAGCCGUAAACGAUGUCAACUAGGUGUAGGGGGUAUCCAACCCCCCUGUGCUGUAGCUAACGCGUUAAGUUGACCGCCUGGGGACUACGGCCGCAAGGCUAAAACUCAAAGGAAUUGACGGGGACCCGCGCAAGCAGCGGAGCGUGUGGUUUAAUUCGAGCUACGCGAAGAACCUUACCAGGGUUUGACAUGUACGUGGUAGGAAGGUGAAAGCCGACUGACCCUUCAGGGAGCGUACACAGGUGCUGCAUGGCUGUCGUCAGCUCGUGCCGUGAGGUGUUAGGUUAAGUCCUGUAACGAGCGCAACCCUCGUCGUUAGUUAUACGUGUCUAACGAGACUGCCGGUGAUAAGCCGGAGGAAGGUGGGGAUGACGUCAAGUCAGCAUGGCCUUUAUAUCCUGGGCUACACACACGCUACAAUGGCCGGUACAAUGGGUAGCCAAGCCGCGAGGCGGAGCCAAUCCUUCAAAGCCGGUCUCAGUUCGGAUUGUAGGCUGCAACUCGCCUGCAUGAAGUCGGAGUUGCUAGUAAACGCGCGUCAGCAACAGUGCGUUGAAUACGUUCCCGGGUCUUGUACACACCGCCCGUCACGUCAUGGAAGUUGGCAACGCCUGAAGUCAGUGAGCUAACCCUAACGGGAGGCAGCUGCCCAAGGCGGGGUCGGUAACUGGGACGAAGUCGUAACAAGGUA
rnacentral:rRNA from 1 species